rnacentral:rRNA from 1 species
UUUAAAGAAAGCGUAAUAGCUCACUGGUCGAGUCGGCCUGCGCGGAAGAUGUAACGGGGCUAAACCAUGCACCGAAGCUGCGGCAGCGACACUAUGUGUUGUUGGGUAGGGGAGCGUUCUGUAAGCCUGUGAAGGUGUACUGUGAGGUAUGCUGGAGGUAUCAGAAGUGCGAAUGCUGACAUAAGUAACGAUAAAGCGGGUGAAAAGCCCGCUCGCCGGAAGACCAAGGGUUCCUGUCCAACGUUAAUCGGGGCAGGGUGAGUCGACCCCUAAGGCGAGGCCGAAAGGCGUAGUCGAUGGGAAACAGGUUAAUAUUCCUGUACUUGGUGUUACUGCGAAGGGGGGACGGAGAAGGCUAUGUUGGCCGGGCGACGGUUGUCCCGGUUUAAGCGUGUAGGCUGGUUUUCCAGGCAAAUCCGGAAAAUCAAGGCUGAGGCGUGAUGACGAGGCACUACGGUGCUGAAGCAACAAAUGCCCUGCUUCCAGGAAAAGCCUCUAAGCAUCAGGUAACAUCAAAUCGUACCCCAAACCGACACAGGUGGUCAGGUAGAGAAUACCAAGGCGCUUGAGAGAACUCGGGUGAAGGAACUAGGCAAAAUGGUGCCGUAACUUCGGGAGAAGGCACGCUGAUAUGUAGGUGAAGCGACUUGCUCGUGGAGCUGAAAUCAGUCGAAGAUACCAGCUGGCUGCAACUGUUUAUUAAAAACACAGCACUGUGCAAACACGAAAGUGGACGUAUACGGUGUGACGCCUGCCCGGUGCCGGAAGGUUAAUUGAUGGGGUUAGCGGUAACGCGAAGCUCUUGAUCGAAGCCCCGGUAAACGGCGGCCGUAACUAUAACGGUCCUAAGGUAGCGAAAUUCCUUGUCGGGUAAGUUCCGACCUGCACGAAUGGCGUAAUGAUGGCCAGGCUGUCUCCACCCGAGACUCAGUGAAAUUGAACUCGCUGUGAAGAUGCAGUGUACCCGCGGCAAGACGGAAAGACCCCGUGAACCUUUACUAUAGCUUGACACUGAACAUUGAGCCUUGAUGUGUAGGAUAGGUGGGAGGCUUUGAAGUGUGGACGCCAGUCUGCAUGGAGCCGACCUUGAAAUACCACCCUUUAAUGUUUGAUGUUCUAACGUUGGCCCGUUAUCCGGGUUGCGGACAGUGUCUGGUGGGUAGUUUGACUGGGGCGGUCUCCUCCUAAAGAGUAACGGAGGAGCACGAAGGUUGGCUAAUCCUGGUCGGACAUCAGGAGGUUAGUGCAAUGGCAUAAGCCAGCUUGACUGCGAGCGUGACGGCGCGAGCAGGUGCGAAAGCAGGUCAUAGUGAUCCGGUGGUUCUGAAUGGAAGGGCCAUCGCUCAACGGAUAAAAGGUACUCCGGGGAUAACAGGCUGAUACCGCCCAAGAGUUCAUAUCGACGGCGGUGUUUGGCACCUCGAUGUCGGCUCAUCACAUCCUGGGGCUGAAGUAGGUCCCAAGGGUAUGGCUGUUCGCCAUUUAAAGUGGUACGCGAGCUGGGUUUAGAACGUCGUGAGACAGUUCGGUCCCUAUCUGCCGUGGGCGCUGGAGAACUGAGGGGGGCUGCUCCUAGUACGAGAGGACCGGAGUGGACGCAUCACUGGUGUUCGGGUUGUCAUGCCAAUGGCACUGCCCGGUAGCUAAAUGCGGAAGAGAUAAGUGCUGAAAGCAUCUAAGCACGAAACUUGCCCCGAGAUGAGUUCUCCCUGACUCCCUGAGAGUCCUGAAGGAACGUUGAAGACGACGACGUUGAUAGGCCGGGUGUGUAAGCGCAGCGAUGCGUUGAGCUAACCGGUACUAAUGAACCGUGAGGCUUAACCUU